rnacentral:tRNA from 1 species
UGUAGCAUAUAAUUUAAUGUACUUCGUUUACACUGAAGUGAUGCUUUGGAUUCGAGCCGUUCUAA